rnacentral:rRNA from 1 species
AACGAACGCUGGCGGCGUGCCUAACACAUGCAAGUCGGGCGAGAAAAGGGGGGCAACCCCCUGAGUAAAGCGGCGCACGGGUGAGUAACACGUAGGUGACCUACCCUUGUAGUCUGGGAUAACCUACCGAAAGGUGGGCUAAUACCGGAUAUGACCACGGGAGUUACGGCUUCUGGGGUGAAAGAUGGCCUCUGCUUGCAAGCCAUCGCUCGAAGAGGGGCCUGCGUGCCAUUAGCUAGUUGGCGGGGUAAUGGCCCACCAAGGCUAUGAUGGCUAGCUGGUCUGAGAGGAUGACCAGCCACACUGGGACUGAAACACGGCCCAGACUCCUACGGGAGGCAG